rnacentral:rRNA from 1 species
UACAGAGGUCUCAAGCGUUGUUCGGAUUCAUUGGGCGUAAAGGGUGCGUAGGCGGCGCGGUAAGUCGGGUGUGAAAUCUUGGAGCUUAACUCCGAAACUGCAUUCGAUACUGCCGUGCUUGAGGACUGGAGAGGAGACUGGAAUUUACGGUGUAGCGGUGAAAUGCGUAGAUAUCGUAAGGAAGACCAGUGGCGAAGGCGGCUCACUGGCCCGGUACUGACGCUGGGGUGCGAAAGCGUGGGGAGCAAACAGG